GACGAACGCUGGCGGCGUGCCUAAAACAUGCAAGUCGAACGAGGCAGCAAUGUCUAGUGGCGAACGGCGGAGUAAGACGUAAGCAACGUGCCCCGAAGUCUGGGAUAUACAGUCGAAAGACUGGGCAAUACCGGAUACGGCCCUUGGAAGGCAUCUUCUGAGGAUUAAAUGGUUUUUCGCUCCGGGAGCGGCUUACGGCCUAUCAGCUAGUUGGUGGGGUAAUAGCCUACCAAGGCAACGACGGGUAGGGGGUCUGAGAGGAUGAUCCCCCGAGUGGGACUGAGACACGACCCACACACCUACGGGUGGCAGCAGUUGGGAAUCUUGCACAAUGGGGGCAACCCUGAUGCAGCGACGCCGCGUGGAGGACGAAGGAUUUAGGUCUGUAAACUCCUUUUUACCAGGAAAGACUUAGGACGGUACCUGGUGAAUAAGCUCCGGCUAACUACGUG
rnacentral:rRNA from 1 species